AGGUGGCAGAGGCUCUAUUGUUUUGCUCUAGUAAAGAAACCAUAUCUGGAACAGCAGUACAAUUGGAGUCAUCACCUGUCUUAACCUUUCGAUAAUCCACUGUCAUUCUCCAAGGCUCUUCUGACUUCAUCAUGAGCCAGAGAGGUGAUUAGAACUCCCAGCUCUUAAAAUCGGCACAUGGAAUCCAGGCUCUCUGAGCACAGGCUCCGGACGCGCAGGCUCAG